ACAAUGUUACAAAUUUGUUUAAUAUUCUUAUUAAUUUUUCCGCUGUGGUCAGAACGUAUAAAAAAUUAUCAGAGUCGCUAUAACAUUUGGCAAAAAGAUGAAUCGAAUUGCUUUUUAAUAGACUGAAACAAUCACAAAAUGAAAAUAUGAAAGAACACUAUAAUCAGGACACAUCGAUCGUAAAAUUGACAGAAAAUAAACUAACAAAAAAUAAUAUAACAAUUUCGUUAACAGAGACAAAGGAGUUUGACAAAUGGUUAUUCCGGGAUAAAAUGCGUAACAAAUUUCGUAGUAAAUAUUUCUUUAAUAAAAUACACGAAAAAUAUAUUCCAUAAAGAAAAUAUGAAGAAAAAUUGGAUGCAGACGUAAAAGAUCUCUAUUUACCAUAAAGAAAAACGAGAAAAAAUUUCAAAAAUAUUCUGAAAGUUUAAAAUAAUGGAACUUCUCAUUCUCAUUGCGUUAACACAUAUGGUUCUUAUGAAUGUUUCUGUGAUUUUGAUUUCAUUAAACAGACGGGUGAUUGUAUUCCUAUAGUGACUCGUAAAGAAAAUCCUUGCCAUAAUGGUGCUUUUUGUUAUGAUAGAAGUGAUGGAUUUGAAUGGCACUGUAAACUCGACAUUGGUAAGGACAUAUUGAAUUAUUAUUAUGUAAAAGCAAAG